rnacentral:tRNA from 1 species
GCGGCUGUUGUCUAGCCUGGUCUAGGACUCAAGCCUUCCAAGCUUGCGACCCGGGUUCAAAUCCCGGCAGCCGCACCA